rnacentral:rRNA from 1 species
UACGGAGGAUCCGAGCGUUAUCCGGAUUUAUUGGGUUUAAAGGGUGUGUAGGCGGCCUAUUAGUCAGGGGUGAAAUACGGUGGCUCAACCAUCGCAGUGCCUUUGAUACUGAUGGGCUUGAAUCCAUUUGAAGUGGGCGGAAUAAGACAAGUAGCGGUGAAAUGCAUAGAUAUGUCUUAGAACUCCGAUUGCGAAGGCAGCUCACUAAGCUGGUAUUGACGCUGAUGCACGAAAGCGUGGGGAUCGAACAGG